rnacentral:rRNA from 1 species
GAGUUUGAUCCUGGCUCAGAACGAACGCUGGCGGCAUGCCUAACACAUGCAAGUCGAACGAAGGCUUCGGCCUUAGUGGCGCACGGGUGCGUAACGCGUGGGAAUCUGCCCUUGGGUCCGGAAUAACAGUUAGAAAUGACUGCUAAUACCGAAUGAUGUCGCAAGACCAAAGAUUUAUCGCCCAGGGAUGAGCCCGCGUAGGAUUAGCUAGUUGGUGAGGUAAGAGCUCACCAAGGCGACGAUCCUUAGCUGGUCUGAGAGGAUGAUCAGCCACACUGGGACUGAGACACGGCCCAGACUCCUACGGGAGGCAGCAGUGGGGAAUAUUGGACAAUGGGCGAAAGCCUGAUCCAGCAAUGCCGCGUGAGUGAUGAAGGCCUUAGGGUUGUAAAGCUCUUUUACCCGGGAUGAUAAUGACAGUACCGGAGAAUAAGCUCCGGCUAACUCCGUGCCAGCCGCCGCGGUAAG